AUUGCCUCAGUAACGGCGAGUGAAGCGGCAACAGCUCAAAUUUGAAAUCUGGCCCUAGGCCCGAGUUGUAAUUUGCAGAGGAUGCUUUUGGCAAGGUGCCUUCCGAGUUCCCUGGAACGGGACGCCAUAGAGGGUGAGAGCCCCGUCUGGUCGGACACCGAGCCUCUGUAAAGCUCCUUCGACGAGUCGAGUAGUUUGGGAAUGCUGCUCAAAAUGGGAGGUAUAUGUCUUCUAAAGCUAAAUACCGGCCAGAGACCGAUAGCGCACAAGUAGAGUGAUCGAAAGAUGAAAAGCACUUUGAAAAGAGAGUUAAAUAGCACGUGAAAUUGUUGAAAGGGAAGCGUUUAUGACCAGACUUGGCCCGGUUGAUCAUCCAGCGUUCUCGCUGGUGCACUCUGCCGGUCCAGGCCAGCAUCAGUUCGUCGCGGGGGAUAAAGGUUUCGGGAAUGUGGCUCCUCCGGGAGUGUUAUAGCCCGUUGCGUAAUACCCUGCGGUGGACUGAGGUCCGCGCUUCUGCAAGGAUGCUGGCGUAAUGGUCAUCAACGACCCGUCUUGAAACACGGACCAAGGAGUCGUCUUCGUAUGCGAGUGUUCGGGUGUAAAACCCCUACGCGUAAUGAAAGUGAACGCAGGUGAGAGCUUCGGCGCAUCAUCGACCGAUCCUGAUGUUCUCGGAUGGAUUUGAGUAAGAGCAUACGGGGCCGGACCCGAAAGAAGGUGAACUAUGCCUGUAUAGGGUGAAGCCAGAGGAAACUCUGGUGGAGGCUCGCAGCGGUUCUGACGUGCAAAUCGAUCGUCAAAUAUGGGCAUGGGGGCGAAAGACUAAU
rnacentral:rRNA from 3 species